rnacentral:sRNA from 1 species
ACUAGACUUUGGAGCCAUUCUUCCCACCUACUCGACCCCCUGGUCGAGUAUCCUCAUCGCAGGCCACUCGAUGACGCCACUCGACCCCCUGGUCGAGUAUCACUUCGCCACACCACCUGACCACACUCGGCCGUUCACUCUACCAAGUUACUCGACCCCCUGGUCGAGUA